GAGGGUAUAGCUCAGUGGUAGAGUGCAUGCUUAGCAUGCACAAGAUCCUGGUUUCAAUCCCCAGUACUUCCA
rfam:Camelus ferus unplaced genomic scaffold scaffold1118, whole genome shotgun sequence.